CGCAAGUUAACUAAAUUCCAACGAUGUUCCAACGUCGGCAUUACGGUGUUGUUCUAAGGUUUGCUAUCAAACGUUGGAACAACGUCGGAAAAACGUUAUCAUCUAAAGUCUUAAAUGUUAACAUUAAAACGACGUUGGAACAACGUUGGAUGUUUAACGUAAAACCAACGUUAGUCUGAUUAACGUUGGAACGACUUUAAGACAACGUUGUUUUUUUUACGUUUUUACUUUUGACAUCAAAGCAACGUCAGCUUUCUAACGUAAACACAACUUGAUUUUACAAACUAGCGCAUUUUUAAAAUGGUUGAAAAACCGUUAUCGAAAAAGAUGUUAUUUUUAAUCUAAUUUUAAUUUAAUGGUUUUUAGGCAUUAUAUUCUGUGAUACUAAUAAUUAAUACAUUAUUUCUUUAUAUUCUACAUUCGAAUUAGAUAUUAAACUCUUAUCAUAUUAAUGAUAAAUAAAAGUUACUAAAACUUUAUUUGAUUUUCAAAAACUGUUGACAUUUUUGUUUUGUUUUUGUAUACUUUGUAUAUUUAACAUUACUUAUAUAGUAAAAAUUUCUAACAUAUAUAAUAUUUGCACAUAAUAUUUUAUUUACAAAUAGAUAAUGCAACGAUAAGUUUUUUAAAUACCCGUUAUUAAACUAUUUAGCAGUUUAAUUAAAUGCCAAUAAAAAUACAGAACCUUUUUUUUAAGACAUUCAAUUCAGUUGUCUAAGACAAUUGAAAGUUGUAUUAAAACAAGGUUUUUACUUAAUGUGCAUAAUAAAUUAAGUAUAAAUUUAAGACAAUUAAGUUAUAUUAAGACAAUCUCUUAAUCAUAAUAUAUAUUUUAUUUGUUUGAAUGUAAAGUUUUUUAGUUUGUUGUGGAACUAGACUAGAAAUUACCUAAUAAGCUUCUCAUAACUUGUGUAAUGUGUUUCUUUUACGAAUUUGUAUAUUGAUAUAAUCAUAUCAUGCUCUUCCUACAAUAUUAUAACUAACACUGACUCUCAUAAGUUUGAGUCUCAAGUCAUGAAAAAGGUCCAACUCUCACGUGUUGGCGGAAAGUUACCAAAAUAUGUUAAGGACUUAAUUUAGAGAUAAUGUUGCUAAAGGAUUUACAGUCGAUAAUCUUUCGAAAGCAGAAAAACUCAGGUUAGCAUCAAAUAGAAAGUUAGCGCAAUUUCUGGUAUUUGUGGUAUUUCUAUUUGUUUAUUCCGAAUGUUUUUUAUUUAGUUCUUAAAAAUGCUUUUAAUUGGAUUUGUUUGUAACUUUAUGUUUCUUCAUAUAUAUUUGUCUUUUAGUGUCAAACAAAGAAUACGCGAAUUAUUUGAGAUAUGAUUGAAAUUUGCAAAGAAAGUAAAAAUCAAACUAGUUUCAUUCUAAGUUAUUGUAUAUAAUUUUAAAAUUUUGGAAUAGAAGUGAUGCAAUGUUUAUUUA